GGCCGAGUGGCAAAAUGGUUACUGCGUUGCUUUCCGAUGAAUACCUGACGGGUAUUUCAGAGGCAGAGACUGUGGGUUCGAGUCCCACCUUGGUCG